rnacentral:rRNA from 1 species
CCUACGGGUGGCAGCAGUGAGGAAUAUUGGUCAAUGGACGAGAGUCUGAACCAGCCAAGUAGCGUGAAGGAUGACUGCCCUAUGGGUUGUAAACUUCUUUUACAUGGGAAUAAAAUGUUCCACGUGUGGGAUUUUGUAUGUAUCAUAUGAAUAAGGAUCGGCUAACUCCGUGCCAGCAGCCGCGGUAAUACGGAGGAUCCGAGCGUUAUCCGGAUUUAUUGGGUUUAAAGGGAGCGUAGGUGGAUUGUUAAGUCAGUUGUGAAAGUUUGCGGCUCAACCGUAAAAUUGCAGUUGAAACUGGCAGUCUUGAGUACAGUAGAGGUGGGCGGAAUUCGUGGUGUAGCGGUGAAAUGCUUAGAUAUCACGAAGAACUCCGAUUGCGAAGGCAGUUCACUGGACUGCAACUGACACUGAGGCUCGAAAGUGUGGGUAUCAAACAGGAUUAGAUACCCGGGUAGUC